GGGAAGGUGGCUCAGUGGUAGAGUGCUUGCCUUGCAUGCAUGAGGCCCUAGGUUCGAUUCCUCAGUACCA
rfam:Dipodomys ordii contig_23218, whole genome shotgun sequence.